GUUUGCAGCCAACCGUUAAGGCUGCCAUAGCGGUUCCAGAGUCCGUUACCAACAUCAAAGUCUCAUUUUAUCACAUCAUGAUUGAAUUGCAAGCAUCGGUGGACUGGAUGCAAGAGCCUGGGAAAAAUCAUCAAAAGCAUUAGUGUCUUCAAGAGUUCUACCUGACCCCUGCCAGCACAGAGGAGGUGAGCCGCUCCCAGCUCACAAGAGGAG